rnacentral:rRNA from 1 species
GUAGGUGGCAAGCGUUGUCCGGAAUUAUUGGGCGUAAAGCGCGCGCAGGGCGGUCCUUUAAGUCUGAUGUGAAAGCCCACGGCUCAACCGUGGAGGGUCAUUGGAAACUGGGGGACUUGAGUACAGAAGAGGAAAGCGGAAUUCCAAGUGUAGCGGUGAAAUGCGUAGAGAUUUGGAGGAACACCAGUGGUGAAGGCGGCUUUCUGGUCUGUAACUGACGCUGAGGCGCGAAAGCGUGGGGAGCAAACAGGAUUAGAUACCCUGGUAGUCCACGCCGUAAACGAUGAGUGCUAAGUGUUAGGGGGUUUCCGCCCCUUAGUGCUGCAGCUAACGCAUUAAGCACUCCGCCUGGGGAGUACGGCCGCAAGGCUG